UAGUUGGUGGGGUAAAGGCCUACCAAGGCGACGAUCUGUAGCGGGUCUGAGAGGAUGAUCCGCCACACUGGAACUGAGACACGGUCCAGACUCCUACGGGAGGCAGCAGUGGGGAAUUUUGGACAAUGGGGGCAACCCUGAUCCAGCCAUGCCGCGUGAGUGAAGAAGGCCUUCGGGUUGUAAAGCUCUUUCGUCCGGGAAGAAAUCGCACAGGCUAAUACUCUGUGUGGAUGACGGUACCGGAAUAAGAAGCACCGGCUAACUACGUGCCAGCAGCCGCGGUAAUACGUAGGGUGCGAGCGUUAAUCGGAAUUACUGGGCGUAAAGCGUGCGCAGGCGGUUUUGUAAGGCAGGCGUGAAAUCCCCGGGCUCAACCUGGGAACUGCGCUUGUGACUGCAAGGCUAGAGUACGGCAGAGGGGGGUGGAAUUCCACGUGUAGCAGUGAAAUGCGUAGAGAUGUGGAGGAACACCGAUGGCGAAGGCAGCCCCCUGGGCCGAUACUGACGCUCAUGCACGAAAGCGUGGGUAGCAAACAGGAUUAGAUACCCUGGUAGUCCACGCCCUAAACGAUGUCAACUAGGUGUUGGGUGGGUAAAACCAUUUAGUACCGUAGCUAACGCGUGAAGUUGACCGCCUGGGGAGUACGGCCGCAAGGUUAAAACUCAAAGGAAUUGACGGGGACCCGCACAAGCGGUGGAUGAUGUGGAUUAAUUCGAUGCAACGCGAAAAACCUUACCUACCCUUGACAUGUCCGGAAUCCCUGAGAGAUUGGGGAGUGCCCGAAAGGGAAUCGGAACACAGGUGCUGCAUGGCUGUCGUCAGCUCGUGUCGUGAGAUGUUGGGUUAAGUCCCGCAACGAGCGCAACCCUUGUCGUUAAUUGCCAUCAUUUAGUUGGGCACUUUAGCGAGACUGCCGG
rnacentral:rRNA from 1 species